GAGGGUAUAGCUUAAGUGGUAGAGCUGUAUGCUUAGCAUACAGAAGGUCCUGGGUUCAAUCCCCAGUACCUCCU
rfam:Camelus ferus unplaced genomic scaffold scaffold1581, whole genome shotgun sequence.